rnacentral:misc_RNA from 1 species
AACGCAUCUUGCGCUCCUUGGUAUUCCGAGGAGCAUGCCUGUUUGAGUGUCAUUAAAUUCUCAACCUUACCAGCUUUGCUGCUGGUCUGGCUUGGAUGUGGGGGUUAUUGCAGGCUCUUAACGAGUCAGCUCCCCUGAAAUACAUUAGCGGUACCCUUGUGGUAAACGGCUAUUGGUGUGAUAAUUAUCUACGCCAUUAGACGCCCACGACUUUGGGGUUGUGCUGCUUCUAACCGUCUAUUUAUUUGGACAAUACAAUGACAAUUUUGGCCUCAAAUCAGGUAGGACUACCCGCUGAACUUAA